rnacentral:rRNA from 1 species
UUAGUAGGUGAACCUGCGGAAGGAUCAUUACAUCAGCUAUAACUUUCUUUGAUCAUAAAUUCUAAAUGGAAUAACCGAGGAAAAGCCUGGGCUAAUACAUGCGACAAUUCCGGUAGCAAUAUCGGAAUGCUUUUAUUAGAUCAAAACCAUCUAGUUCCUUCACGGGAACUGUUUGUUGGUGACUCUAAAUAACUUUGUGUUGAUCGUAUGACCUUUGUGUCGACGACAUAUCUUUCAAGUGUCUGACUUAUCAACUUUAGACGGUACAUUAUAUGUCUACCGUGGUUGUAACGAGUACAGAGAAUCAGGGUUUGGUUCUGGAGAGGCCGCCUGAGAAACGGCGACCACUUCCAAGGAAGGCAGCAGGCGCGCAAAUUACCCACUCUCAAUACGAGGAGGUAGUGAAGAGAAAUAACGAUGUUAGCCUCAAACAGGUUGAUAAUCGGAAUGGAAACACUGUAAAUAGGUUAUNGAAAACUAAAGUUGCUGUGUUUAAAAAGCUCGUAGUUGAAUUUCGGGUAUUUGUUGCUAGUUGGUCUCAAUGGCCAUAUUGGUUAACAGAUCCUCACUUACUGGACGACUGGCGAUGAUCUUUAUCGAUUGUCGUCAGUUGCCAGAACGUUUACUUUGAGAAAAUUAGAGUGCUAAAAGCAGGCUAAUGCCUAUAUAUAUUCAUGGAAUAAUGAAAUAAGAUCUCGAUUUUAUUUCGUUGGUUUUAGAAAUUGAGAUAAUGAUUAAUAGGAUCAGAGGGGGGCGUACGUACUGUGGUGUGAGAGGUGAAAUUCUUGGAUCGCCACAGGACGAACAGCAGCGAAGGCGUUCGCCAAGAAUGUUUUCAUUAAUCAAGAACGAAAGUUUGAGGUUCGAAGACGAUUAGAUACCGUCCUAGUUCAAACCAUAAACGUUGCCAACUGUCUUUUAGAUGCGGUUAUUUAUAUGACUCAUCUGGCGGAUCUCGAGAAAUCUAAGUUUUUAGGUUCCGGGGGAAGUAUGGUUGCAAAGCUGAAACUUAAAAGAAUUGACGGAAGGACACACAAGAAGUGGAGCCUGUGGCCUAAUUUGACUCAACACGGGAAACCUUACUCGGCCAGGACACUUUUAGGAUUGACAGAUUGAGAGCUCUUUCUUGAUUAGGUGGGUGGUGGUGCAUGGUCGUUCGUAGUUCGUGGAGCGAUUUGUCUGAUUAAUUUCGAUAACGAACGAGACUCCGGCUUACUAAAUAGUCUAGAGUUCGCAAGGACUUUUCAAGACUUCUUAGCAGGAUAAGUGGCACUUUUUAAGCCACACGAAAUGGAGCAAUAACAGGUCUGUGAUGCCCUUAGAUGUCCGAGGCUGCACGCGCGCUACACUGGAGAGUUCAGAAUGUUUCUUCCUACUUCGACAGGAGUGGGUAACCAUUAAAUUCUCUUCGUGACUGGGAUCGGAGCUUGCAAUUAUUCUCCGUCAACGAGGAAUUCCUAGUAAGCACUAUUUCAUCAGAAUGUGCUGAUUAUGUCCCUGUCCUUUGUACACACCGCCCGUCGCUACUACCGAUUGAAUGUUUUAGUGAGAUCUUCGGCUUGGUUUUCCGAGCGGCUUCACGGUUGUUCGGCAUAUACCGAAAAGAUGCUCAAACUGGAUCAUUUAGAGGAAGUAAAAGUCGUACAAGGUAUUCGUANGUG